AGCGAGAGAGCAAGCUAAAGGAGGCAGGAAGGGGUAGAGGCCCGCCGCGGAAGGUGGGGAAGGGGCGACCGUCGGCCGUUGUGGGAGCCGCUGACGCUCGCUCUGACCUUCCGUGGCGACUGGCCGCGAGCCUGCACGCGCUUGUGUUCGACAACGCGCCUUUGCUUGCAAGCUCAAAGUCCGGGGGCUGGCGGCGCCGGCUUAUUAAGGGACGGCAGCAAGAGAAAGGGAGCUCUUGCACCUGCCGGAGCCGGACCGCAUCCCCGUAGCAGUUUUCCAAACGCAGCGGGGGCGGGGUUGACCUCACCGGGUCAAAAAGCGCCCCGUCUCUGACGCUUCGUGAAUCUGGCUGCCGCCUGUCGCGAGCUCUGACUGUCGGAGGCAAGCUGGGCAUGAGCUGAAACGAGGGGUAAAGCUCUUCCGCCUGAGAAGAAGGGGAGCUCAGGCCUCCUAGGGAAGCGGCGGCGCAGCGCCGCACGCGGAGACGCGGAGGCUCGACGGCGCGAGUGGCGCAAGUGCGGGCAGCAGAGGGGCGUGGGGCGCGCUCUAGAGGGUAGAAGAGCGCGCCCGCACGGGCCUGUCCCGCGAGGGCAGAGACGCCACGCGUCGUCAGACCUAUGAAGAGGCACCCGGUCGUCCGUAGCGAGACGGUGGGGCAGGAGUGGCACGGAGCAGAGGGAAAACCUUUGGCGAGAAAGGGACGUCCAGUAGGGAAGGACGCCGCCAGCGGCAAGCCUCCGACUUGCAAGUCGCCGAUUCGUCGGCGGCUGGGUGCAAUGCAGUCGCGUCCCGCUGGGCUGAGAUGGCGCAAAUGCGCCCACUUCCCAAGAUGGGUGAGAGGAAGAGAAAGCGUUUCAGAAAGCUCCCUAGAAACCGAAAAGAGUCUCGGCAGGAGAAACGGCUGUGCCAGUUUUGCUCAGCGGCCGGCGCGGUAGGGGCCCGCGGCCGCAGAGAGAACCAUAUACUAGGCUGGGAGUCUGUCUGCUUGGGUUCCCUUCUGGGUUCCCGCGUU
rnacentral:rRNA from 1 species